AGAGUUUGAUCCUGGCUCAGUAAGUGAACGCUGGUGGCGUGCUUAACACAUGCAAGUCGAACGAACUAUUUGGUGCUUGCACUAGAUAGUUAGUGGCAGACGGGUGAGUAAUACAUGGGAAUUUACCUUACAGUACGGAAUAACCAUUGGAAACGAUGGCUAAUACCGUAUAUUGCCGAGAGGUGAAAGAUUUAUCGCUGCAAGAUAAGCCCAUGCAAGAUUAGCUAGUUGGUGAGGUAAUGGCUCACCAAGGCAACGAUCUUUAGCUGGUUCGAGAGGAUGACCAGCCACACUGGAACUUAGACACGGUCCAGACUCCUACGGGAGGCAGCAGUGAGGAAUAUUGGACAAUGGGCGAAAGCCUGAUCCAGCGACGCCACGUGAAUGAUGAAGGCCUUAGGGUUGUAAAGUUCUUUUAGUGGAGAAGAUAAUGACGGUAUCCACAGAAAAAGUCCCGGCUAACUUCGUGCCAGCAGCCGCGGUAGUACGAAGGGGGCAAGCGUUACUCGGAAUUAUUGGGCGUAAAGCGUGCGUAGGCGGUUUUAUAAGUUGGAAGUGAAAGCCUUUGGCUCAACCAAAGAAUAGCUUACAAAACUAUAAAACUUGAGUCUCAGAGAGGGCAGAGGAAUUCCUGAUGUAGGGGUGGAAUCCGUAGAUAUCAGGAGGAAUACCAAAGGCGAAAGCAUCUGUCUGGCUGAGUACUGACGCUGUUGCACGAAAGCGUGGGGAGCAAACAGGAUUAGAUACCCUGGGUAGUCCACGCAGUAAACGAUGAGUGCUAGGUGCUAGAACUAACGUUUUAGUGUCGAAGCUAACGCAUUAAGCACUCCGCCUGGGGAGUACGAUCGCAAGGUUAAAACUCAAAGGAAUUGACGG
rnacentral:rRNA from 1 species